CCUACGGGGGGCAGCAGUGAGGAAUAUUGGUCAAUGGACGAGAGUCUGAACCAGCCAAGUAGCGUGAAGGAUGACUGCCCUAUGGGUUGUAAACUUCUUUUAUAUGGGAAUAAAAUGUUCCACGUGUGGGAUUUUGUAUGUACCAUAUGAAUAAGGAUCGGCUAACUUCGUGCCAGCAGCCGCGGUAAUACGGAGGAUGCGAGCGUUGUCCGGAUUUAUUGGGUUUAAAGGGAGCGUAGGUGGAUUGUUAAGUCAGUUGUGAAAGUUUGCGGCUCAACCGUAAAAUUGCAGUUGAAACUGGCAGGCUUGAGUACAGUAGAGGUGGGCGGAAUUCGUGGUGUAGCGGUGAAAUGCUUAGAUAUCACGAAGAACUCCGAUUGCGAAGGCAGCUCACUGGACUGCAACUGACACUGAGGCUCGAAAGUGUGGGUAUCAAACAGGAUUAGAUACCCUAGUAGUC
rnacentral:rRNA from 1 species